GAGAAGAAAUUCAUUGCUUCUUUUCUCUUCUUCUUUCUUUUUUUUCUUCCUUCUUCUCUCUGUUGUUCUUCUUUUUUUCCUGUAAGUUCUUCCAUCACCCGUGUCGAUCGAUGGAGCAGAAAUUUGAAGUUAGCAAUUGAAUCAGUGAAUGUCAGAAGACAUGAAUUGUUGGUGGGGAUGGUACUGAAGCUUGUUGAUCUCAAAAAGAAGAUGAUUUGGUUAUAUGUUUCCAUUGGGAACCCUUUGGGAUGAUGUGCUCACUUGUUCCCACUCCAGUUUCAGUAAUCAGAAGAAAUUGUGCGCGUGAAGAUAUCUGUUAUCGUAGCUUAAAGCUUUUUGCAAUAUUAAAGAUAUUAUGAAUCUUUUAUAUAUCUUUAUUCUUUAGUUAUUUUUGUAAAACAACACAUUAAUAUAUUCAUAUCACAAGAGAGUUCUUCAUUUAUACAA